GCCAGUGUGGCAUAGUGGUUUGAGCAUUGGACUAUGAUUCUGUAGACCGGGGUUCGAAUCCCAUUGGGU